rnacentral:rRNA from 1 species
UCAGUCGACUCCUACGGGAGGCAGCAGUGGGGAAUAUUGCACAAUGGACGAAAGUCUGAUGCAGCAACGCCGCGUGGAGGAUGACACAUUUCGGUGCGUAAACUCCUUUUAUAUAGGAAGAUAAUGACGGUACUAUAUGAAUAAAGCACCGGCUAACUCCGUGCCAGCAGCCGCGGUAAUACGGAGGGUGCAAGCGUUACUCGGAAUCACUGGGCGUAAAGAGCGUGUAGGCGGGUUAAGUAAGUUGGAUGUGAAAUCCUAUGGCUCAACCAUAGAACUGCAUCCAAAACUGUUAACCUAGAGUAUGGGAGAGGUAGAUGGAAUUUCUGGUGUAGGGUAAAAUACCGUAGAGAUCAGAAGGAAUACCGAUUGCGAAGGCGAUCUACUGGAACAUUACUGACGCUGAGACGCGGAAAGCGUGGGGAGCAAACAGGAUUAGAUACCCCUGGUAG